rnacentral:rRNA from 1 species
CCACCCGUUCCCAUUCCGAACACGGAAGUUAAGCCCUCCAGCGCCGAUGGUACUUGGGGCGGGAGCCCCCGGGAGAGUAGGACGCUGCCAGGC